GCACCCAUCCUGGAGCGAGCCUGCUGGGCUGCUGGCAUUCACAGUACAGGAACAAAAGACACCUUCAUGUUUUCAAGGAAGUCCUGGUGCAGGGGCAGGCUAAGGAGCAGCAGGUGUGACCCAGGAAAUGUAGAAAACUGGCUGUCACCUGAGCACCUUGUUUCUCCAAAGCAUGAUCGAGGCAGGCCACAGGGCAGUGUCGCCAGAAGCCACCUCGGCUGAUGAGGCUGCAGGCCGGGAGACCCGUCAGGACUGAGGUCCCAGGACUUCACCCCCCUGAAGACGUACGGGACCAGAUGAGACAACCGAGGCUGCCAGGGUCUCACAUCUUUCCCACCCAUCAAGAAGUCACUAGCCGGCUGGCUGCUGUCAGAAGCAGCACAGAGAAGAGGUCAGGAGCUUGGGCCCUGGGGCCAGGAUGUGUGGGUGCCAGCUGAGUGACCUGGAACGUGGCGAGGAGCUCUUUGCACCAGUGUCCUCAUUUGUAAAUGUGGAUGAUGACAACAACAAGUGUCUGGCAGAUGGGCCUUUGGUGAGGAUUGGAAGAGACUAUACAUAUGGAGAUAGGUAGUAGGUGCUUGAGAAAUGCUUGCUACCAUUACAGACUGGGCCACCAAACCAAGUGCUGCCUGUGGUUCUGUUCUCCUACCACACUCCCACCAAGCUUUCCAAGGUACCAAUAAAUCUCCUUCCCCAAAGGUGUUCAUGGUGUUUUCUGAACUCUGUUCCUUCACCUACAUUUUCCUCUCUACCUGGUAUGCCAUUUCCCUACUUCUUUGGAACAAACCCCUCAAACAUCAAGACCCACGGCAAAUCAGUAGAUUGUCACAAAUUCAUUCUUUGUGAAUGUUUUACUGCCCUGAGAUUCCUGCAGCCGGUCGUGCUUCCUAUGGAAUCGUUUGGUACUUUGUUCAUAGUAGGUGACCCCACCUUGCACAGUGC
ensembl:lncRNA